UACGUAGGGUGCGAGCGUUGUCCGGAAUUAUUGGGCGUAAAGAGCUCGUAGGCGGUCUGUCGCGUCUGCUGUGAAAACUCAGGGCUUAACCCUGAGCUUGCAGUGGGUACGGGCAGACUAGAGUGCGGUAGGGGAGACUGGAAUUCCUGGUGUAGCGGUGAAAUGCGCAGAUAUCGAGGAGGAACACCGGUGGCGAAGGCGGGUCUCUGGGCCGAUACUGACGCUGAGGAGCGAAAGCCGUGGGGAGCGAACAGG
rnacentral:rRNA from 1 species